rnacentral:rRNA from 1 species
CAACGAUUGGAAACGAUCGCUAAUACCGGAUAGGGCGAAAGUUUAAAGGUGCUUCUGGCACCGCUGAUGGAUGAGCCUGCGGCGCAUUAGCUAGUUGGUAGGGUAAAGGCCUACCAAGGCGACGAUGCGCAGCCGACCUGAGAGGGUGAACGGCCACACUGGGACUGAGACACGGCCCAGACUCCUACGGGAGGCAGCAGUAGGGAAUCUUCGGCAAUGGGCGAAAGCCUGACCGAGCAACGCCGCGUGAAUGAUGAAGGCCUUCGGGUGUAAAAUUCUGUUAUAAGGGAAGAACGACUUUAGUAGGAAAUGGCUAGAGUGUGACGGUACCUUAUGAGAAAGCCACGGCUAACUACGUG